CUUUGGUUCAGCUGAGUUAACCAAACAGCACGUUGUUCGGCCGUCCGAGGUUUCUUUCACAAGGUUAAUUAUGAAUCAAACUGAACAAACUUGUCUGGAGCUGCUCUCAACUAUGGAGGAGAAACUGCGGUUCUGUGAGUAACACAACUGAACUAUGAACAAGAAACUGCGAGCUGUAAGUCACUUUUUAUUAACAAGCGUUAACGUAGAUUUGAUUCCUUGUUGGAUUAACAUGUUUCAAUACCAAGAGUUUGUGUUGGUGUAUUGGUAUGUAAAAGUGUAGUUUGAAUAAGGAUUCUUGUGUUAAGGUAGAGUACGUUCAAGUAAACAAUGGGUGUCAAGUGAGUGUAAGACGAAGUUGCUUCGUGGCUACUUAUUUCUAGAUUCCUUGUAUCCACUUCGCUGCUACUUCUCUGAACUCUGCAUUUGUCACAUUAGUUGUCUGAGUGGGCAGAGAGUGCAUGCUUGGAUACAGUGCUGUCCCAAGGCUGCCGUUCUGGAGCUGUUCUCCUCACGAGAAGCUAAGUGCUUAAGAGUGUCAUAAUAUCAGGUGCAUGAACUGAAAUGUCCUCCAAAAUGGGCACAGGGAGCCCACUGAGGAACUCUGAGGGCAAGAGGGGGCUUCAUCUCUUGGCAACUGAUACACAGCCUAAGUCUUGCACCAGAGAAAUGUGGAGGACAUCUCAACGUUCCUCUCUACACAUCUGGAGGCCUUGGCGACCGUUUCUUGAAGUUUCCAGCAGGAAGUGAGCACAACUUCAAUUCGGAAAAUGAACUAGUCCAGGUCUUGAUGGUUUGUGAUGUGCGGACUCCUCUUCCAUGGUGAACUGGCCUCGUCCUUUGCAGAUCAGCCAGAGAAAUGCUUGCACCAACACGGAAUGCGUCAGUCUGAGCCAGCCGGAGUUCAUCAAACUCCACCACUGGGUUGUCCUUCUGAACGGAACACCUUCGGGAUACCCACGUCCUGUCCCUGACCUCAGGCUUAUCAAAGCUACCGCUUGCAUCUGAAGGCUCCUCAUCAGGAAACGACUCGAAGGCCAGGAAGGGACUUCAGUGACGUUGAAUCGGGUCAACCUUGAUUACCAGCUGAAGACGCCUGCACCUCGACGCAACUGAGGAAGGUUGUGCAUCAUUUGAAUCUCUGAGGCAAGGGCAUUGGAAAGGUCUAAUGGAGGCCCUGAGCUCGGCUUCUUCAUCCUGUGUUCAGCUUCCACUUGGCCAGUGUUUGUCUUGGUAUAGGGUGCUCCAUGUGACCAGUGUUUGACCUGGUAUAGGGUGCUCCAUGUGAC
ensembl:lncRNA